UGUACAUUUAAAUGGAUCCUGCCUUGUCAGAAGGACUUACAAUGUACAGAGCAAGUGCCAAGAAUAUGGACCUGAUCACAGAUUAAGCUUAUCUUUGCCUUUUUCUGGGAGCUAUUUCCAAACAAAGCCCUGGGUUGCAGCCUUCCCAUUUCUUUUUCCUAAGAAUUGCUGCAAAACCUAUAUAAGGCAAAGAAGAAUUCUGAGAAGCAGAAAAUGAGCACGGUCUGGCAGCAAUCUGCAGAAAGCUAGCUCAGGAGCCUACCACUUAAAAGAAGAGAAAGGGAGGCAUGUUCAAGUGGCUCAAGCAAACUUGGGGAUGCAGAGUUGUUUAAACAAACGAUCUUGGGCUACCAAAGGCCCCAGAAAGCAGAAUAAUUCUCCAAAACCAGAACAGAAUGGGAUCAUAUAUGGGGAAGAAACUGGCAACGGAAAGGCUGAAUACAAAAUCUGGCCAGAUAAGGCCAGGGGCUGUGGAGAAAAAUGUUCCAGGAAAAAAAAAAACCUUAAUUCCAAUGGCAGGGCAGUUGAGUAGAAGCAUGAAAUAUUGCUGACUCCUCCACUCUAAUUCCUGCUCCACUCUCCUUCCUAAUCACAUGAUGCAGCCCACCCUGUGCUAUCCUAUGCAUACAAUAAACAAAAACAUACAGAUACACCAAAAGGGAGAGCAGAAAUAUACUGUAAUUUGCUGAGUUGGGGAAUGGUGAGUUGCAAAAUAUUGGUCAGAACAUCUGUGUACAUCUGUAUCAAGCAAACAGUAGCAACUUCUCUUUUGCAUCAAGAGGCAGUUAAAAAGACUAUCAGAGGGAUCAAAGAGGGUCCACUUUGAUGCAUUUACUGAAAAGUGAGGUGCUAAAGUAUACAUACCCAGC